ACGCUGGCGGCAGGCCUAACACAUGCAAGUCGAACGGUAACAGGAAGCAGCUUGCUGCUUCGCUGACGAGUGGCGGACGGGUGAGUAAUGUCUGGGAAACUGCCUGAUGGAGGGGGAUAACUACUGGAAACGGUAGCUAAUACCGCAUAACGUCGCAAGACCAAAGAGGGGGACCUUCGGGCCUCUUGCCAUCGGAUGUGCCCAGAUGGGAUUAGCUAGUAGGUGGGGUAACGGCUCACCUAGGCGACGAUCCCUAGCUGGUCUGAGAGGAUGACCAGCCACACUGGAAC
rnacentral:rRNA from 1 species